GGGAACGCGAAGAACCUUACUGGGAACGCGAAGAACCUUACUGGGAACGCGAAGAACCUUACCUAGACUUGACAUCCCCUGAAUUACCUGUAAUGAGGGAAGUCCCUUCGGGGACAGGGAGACAGGUGGUGCAUGGUUGUCGUCAGCUCGUGUCGUGAGAUGUUGGGUUAAGUCCCGCAACGAGCGCAACCCUUAUCAUUAGUUGCUACCAUUAAGUUGAGCACUCUAAUGAGACUGCCCGGGUUAACCGGGAGGAAGGUGGGGAUGACGUCAAAUCAUCAUGCCCCUUAUGUCUAGGGCCACACACGUGCUACAAUGGCUGGUAACAAAGUGACGCAAACGGCGACGUCGAGCAAAUCACAAAAACCCAGUCCCAGUUCGGAUUGUAGUCUGCAACUCGACUACAUGAAGCUGGAAUCGCUAGUAAUCGCGAAUCAGAAUGUCGCGGUGAAUACGUUCCCGGGUCUUGUACACACCG
rnacentral:rRNA from 1 species